rnacentral:rRNA from 1 species
GACGAACGCUGGCGGCGUGCUUAACACAUGCAAGUCGAACGGAAAGGCCCUGCUUUUGUGGGGUGCUCUAGUGGCGAACGGGUGAGUAACACGUGAGUAACCUGCCCUUGACUUUGGGAUAACUUCAGGAAACUGGGGCUAAUACCGGAUAGGAGCUCCUGCUGCAUGGUGGGGGUUGGAAAGUUUCGGCGGUUGGGGAUGGACUCGCGGCUUAUCAGCUUGUUGGUGGGGUAGUGGCUUACCAAGGCUUUGACGGGUAGCCGGCCUGAGAGGGUGACAGGCCACAUUGGGACUGAGAUACGGCCCAGACUCCUACGGGAGGCAGCAGUGGGGAAUAGUGCACAAUGGGCGGAAGCCUGAUGCAGCAACGCCGCGUGCGGGAUGACGGCAUUCGGGUUGUAAACCGCAUUCGCCUGUGACGAAGCGUGAGUGACGGUAAUGGGUAAAGAAGCACCGGCUAACUACGUG